AUACAAAUUAAAUUAGUUAAGUUUGUUUAAUUUAAUUAAAUUGAUUAUGGAAAAAGUAGAAUAAAAAUAAGAUUAUUAGGUGAAAUUUUAAUUUUUAAAUAUUUUAUGAUUUGAGAUUUUGAAGUUAAGAAAUUUAGUUUUAAACUAGGAUUAGAUACCCUAUUAUUUUAAAUGUAAAUUUUAGUUAAAAUUAUUAAUAGUUAAGAUCUUUAAAAUUAAAAGAUUUGGCGGUAUUUUAGUCUUUUCAGAGGAACCUGUUUUUUAAUUGAUAAUCCACAAUAAAAUUUACUUAAUUUUUUAAUUUGUAUAUCGUCGUGGUAAGAAUAUUUUUAUAGAAAUAAAAUGUUCUAAGUUUUAAUAAGAAUGGAAAUCAGAUCAAGGUGCAGUUUAUAAUUAAGAAAAAAUGGGUUACAUUAGAUUUAGCUUUGGUAUUAAAAUUGAAAAUUUUAGUUAAAUUGGAUUUGAAAGUAAAUAAUAAUAUUUUUAUGUUUUGAUUAAGCUCUAAAAUAUGCACAUAUUGCCCGUCGCUUUCAUAUAAGGUGAAAUAAGUCGUAACAAAGUAGAUUUAUUGGAAAAUGAGUCUGGAA
rnacentral:rRNA from 1 species